rnacentral:rRNA from 1 species
GUGGAGCAAUCCAUGAGUAAAGUGGCGUACGGGUGAGUAACACGUGGGUAAUCUACCUUUUAGUGAGGAAUAACUUUGGGAAACCGAAGCUAAUACCGCAUAAGCCUGAGAAGGGAAAGCAGCAAUGCGCUGAAAGAGGAGCCCGCGGCCGAUUAGCUAGUUGGUGAGGUAACGGCCCACCAAGGCUGAGAUCGGUAGCCGGCCUAAGAGGGCACACGGCCACACUGGCACUGAAACACGGGCCAGACUCCUACGGGAGGCAGCAGUGGGGAAUCUUGCACAAUGGGGGAAACCCUGAUGCAGCGACGCCGCGUGAGCGAUGAAGCCCUUCGGGGUGUAAAGCUCUUUCGGCAGGGAAGAUUAUGACGGUACCUGCAGAAGCAGCUGCGGCUAACUACGUGCCAGCAGCCGCGGUAAUACGUAGGCAGCGAGCGUUGUUCGGAGUUACUGGGCGUAAAGGGUGUGUAGGCGGCUCUCUAAGUUUGGUGUGAAAUCUCCCGGCUCAACCGGGAGGGUGCGCCGAAUACUGAAGGGCUAGAGUGUGGGAGAGGAAAGUGGAAUUCCUGGUGUAGCGGUGAAAUGCGUAGAUAUCAGGAGGAACACCGGUGGUGUAGACGGCUUUCUGGACCAUAACUGACGCUGAGACACGAAAGCGUGGGUAGCAAACAGGAUUAGAUACCCUGGUAGUCCACGCCCUAAACGAUGC